AUUGAACGCUGGCGGCGUGCCUAACACAUGCAAGUCGAGCGGUAACAGGUGUAGCAAUACAUGCUGACGAGCGGCGAACGGGUGAGUAAUGCUUCGGAAUCUACCCAAUGGUGGGGAAUAACCAGCCGAAAGGUUGGCUAAUACCGCAUACGUCCCACGGGAGAAAGCAGGGGAUCGCAAGACCUUGCGCCAAUGGAUGAGCCGAAGUCGGAUUAGCUAGUGGUAGGGUAACGGCCUACCAAGGCGACGAUCCGUAGCUGGUCUGAGAGGACGACCAGCCACACUGGGACUGAGACACGGCCCAGACUCCUACGGGAGGCAGCAGUGGGGAAUAUUGGACAAUGGGGGAAACCCUGAUCCAGCGACGCCGCGUGUGUGAAGAAGGCC
rnacentral:rRNA from 1 species